AACGCACAUUGCGCCCUCUGGUAUUCCGGGGGGCAUGCCUGUUCGAGCGUCAUUAUACCCCUCAAGCUCUGCUUGGUAUUAGGUAUCACCUGCUAGGUGAGCCUUAAAAUCAGUGGCGGUGCCACCUGGCUUCAAGCAUAGUAAUACUUUUUGCUUAGGAGAACAGGUGGUUUACCUGCCAAUAACCCAAAUUAUUCUAAAGGUUGACCUCGGAUCAGGUAGGGAUACCCGCUGAACUUAA
rnacentral:misc_RNA from 1 species